rnacentral:lncRNA from 1 species
GGAGCAGUGAAGAGUCCACUAAAAAACAAAGACAGUACUGACAACUGUGAUGCAGGGAGAAGUGCAGACUAAAAGAGGUCAAGCAAAAUCUAGAAGAUAAUCAACCAAGAGUCAAGAAAUAAUCCCCAGUGGAAAAGACUAUUUUUUGAAGGCGAGCCAUUUCUUUGAGCAAUUUAUGAAGCUGGAGGGAAGCACCACCACAAUGAAUGGCCAUUAAGCCUGGCGUCCCCUAGGGCACCUUGGAAGAUAAAGGAGCUGCCUGGCUCCCUGACUUGCAACUUUCAGAACUCCAGAAAAAUGGAGUGGAUGGCUUUCUUCCAUAUGGAAGCCUGGGGGGCGUUUCAGUGUCUGCAGAGAAUUUAAUGUAGGGAGAGUAAUUAGUGCUGACACCAGAUGAGAUCCAAUAAAAAGAUGAAUGUCCCGAUUCAGAAAUGACAAUAAAAAUGAAAGUAAGGAAGGGGGGUGGAAGUUAAACAAAACAAAACAACCAGCCAGCCUGAGUUUACCUCUGUAUCCUGAGCUGGAUCUAUCAGGCACAAUCUGCAGCAGUUUCCAGGGCAUCCAUUUCCUGCCAUAAACAACAAUGACAUUUUCCUUCCCAGAUGUUGAAAAUGGCUAAAUAACCUCCACUUUCCACUGCAGCUCUGACAGCUUAAGUUAUCUGAAAUAGCACCAGCGCUGGAAGAACUACAGGCCCAGCCAGUCACCUGGAUGCCGCCAGCAGGAGGGAAACAAACCGCACUGGGCGCGGGCGCAGAAAUUCAGUGGCGCUAAUAACCUUGAUCUGGAUGACAGGAACGCGCUGGGGCUGAGACUGACACGUGGGACGCGCGCAGCCACGCCCGCACGCAGACGCAUGCAUGCACUCAGGCCCGCAGACGCACGCACGCACACACGCACACACGCACGCAUCCACCACGCACGUACUCCCUCCCAGCCGUAUCCCACCUCGCUCCUGACGUGCUCUAAACCAGCAAGCGCUUCCUCUCGACGCCAGACGAGAACGGGGAUUGGAACCCAGUUGUAUUUUCCAUGGAAAACUGCCCGCCGCUGUUCAUUUCUUCUGGAAAAUCACCGAAUGUGCGAACAGAGAAGGCAGAGGCCUUCCAGUCCACCAGCUUGGGUUACCUGUCAGGAAAGGACGACCAGGACCAGACGGCGUGGUUGAACCCAGGCAAGGAGUUUUUUAUUAUUAUUAUUUCUAACAAAAUGUGUGAGGGAAGAGGGAGUUGUGUGGUGCCAUGGUGGUGACCUUCGGCAGCAUUAGCCUAUUACAGACUUGUCCCUCUGGUGGCCUUCCGAGACGCACAACACAGCGG